CACAUGUUGCGUAGUUAUACUUAACGAACAGCUACAUAAUUAUGCCUCGAGGCGUAGCCGCACGAGGGAUACGGUAAAGCUGACUGUGUGUCUGUGUGUCUGUGUGUCUGUGUGUCUGUUCCAGCUGUAACUGCUCAACGGUUGCAAUGCGACGAAAACUAACAGCUUCUAUAGGCUUCUAGCCAUGUUCUCUUGGAUUUUGAUUCAUGGAUUAGCAAACUAAAGCUUCUUUUUCGAGUUAUGGCUAGUUUGACUCACAUUGAAGGCUGUUGCAGUCUCUUCAGAAUCUUUCAUAGCAUCAUCUGUCCGCACAAACUUUCUAUUCAACAUAUGAGUUAGCCUUGCACUAAAGCGCUAGCUUUUUGUUAGCUACAAGACUCAGAAAAUACCUGUUAAAACAGCUAGCUAGCAGUAGCCAUUUGUGAAAUUGAUCUCUUUGGACACACCCUUUAAUUAUUCCUAUGGAUGUAAUGCGCAUGCGCGCUCAUUCCCCAGAUCCAGAUCCUCCUGGCAGAAUCAUAUUUUUCUUGAGGGCCUGGUAAGCCACAAAACACUACUAUAGAUAACAAUAUGUAUGUACACAAGUCUUUUCUUCUUAAAUAUUAUAAUUAUACACUGCAUGAACUACAGAUCCAAUUUUCUUCUUUCUUGAGGUCCUGGUAUUAAAGCCACAUAAUACAACAAUAGAUGCAUGUAAUAAGUCUUUUCUUCUCAGUGACUUUAUAUAGAUAAGCUAACUUUAUGAAAUGAUUAUGCACUUCCGCUUAUAAUUAAUUGAAAACAAAAUCUUCUUCUUUGUUGCUUCCUAGAUCCUUGAGGUCCUGGUAUAAGCAGCCACAAAACACAACAAUGAUACCAUAAUUAUACAAUUGCAAGUCAGUUUUAGACAGAUUAUUUUAUACACUUUUUCCUCUUCUAUACUUUCUCUUCUAUACUUUUGAGCGAAAGCAAAUCAUGGCGAGAGGCAUUAGCACAGCGCCAGCUUGAACACUAGUUAUAUAUCGUACACAUAUCUCUUAUACACAGUACAAAGGUAGUUAAUAACUGAACAGAGCUGAGCUAUGAUUUGUAGCCUCUUAACCCUUUCCCGGCUUUAAAUUACAUAAAGUAUUUCUUUAAACAUCCAAAUAUCAUGAACUAUAUACAUUGAAAUCACUUGUAAUAGCGUGACCAACCCCCACUAAUUAGCGAUUGUUACAAGCAUUCACUAUUAUGUGCACAAACAACGUUGUAUGAACGCACAAAAUAUGACUACCAUAGAGCGGGUAAUUUUCGGGGGGGCAAAAUAUUUGUGGUUCAGACAUUUCGUGGAUAAUAUUUUCGUGGUUGCAAUUUGAUGAAAUCACAUGCACCCAUCCAAGAAUAAUAGCUAGGCAUCCUCAACUGUCUAUCUAAUAGCAAAUUUAUGGCUGUCUCUUUUGAAGUCAGAGCUAUGAUACGAGGAUAUCAUGAGUACCAACACAUUUGGACUGUUGUGAUGUGAAGGUGUGCAAGAAACUAGCAAUUCUCUGCUGGUGGUAAUAAUGAAGUAUGGAGUUGUCGUCCGGCAUGCAUGUUCCACGCAAAAUAUCGUCUAUAUACUCACUGUUUCUUCGACGUGGAGGGAUUAUACUGUAUAUGCUUGAUCAGACGCCACUCUUGUAUAAAGGCCGCUCUCAAACAGUAGCCUCAGACUCUAGCAUCUCUGCACGUGGCAGCCAUAAUACUAGCAGCUUGUUGGUGCUUCACAAAGACUUUCUCGUGGCAGAAAUAACUUUUAAGGACAAACUAAAGGUUGUUGAAUUAGCUGGGGCUAAUAAACGCCUCUCUUGAACAAUGGCCUCUCUCGAAUUGUAGCCUCCUCUGCCAGCAAAAUGAAACAUAUAUACACUGUAAAAACAAGUGGGUUGUUUCAACACUGACACGCGUGUCAUUUGAUUGUCCCUCCAAAUAACAUGCUACACGUGUGUCAAAUUGAAGGUGUGUCGAUUUGACCCACUUCUAGCGGGUCAUUUUGACACGUGUUAUUAAUCAUUCCCAUUUCAAUCUCAUAAAACUAACAAAAAUAAUGACGAGUCUACACUGUUAAAAAUGGGGUGUUACGUAGCACACUAAUUUUAGUAGGUAAAUGUCAGUGGUGUGUUAAUGAACACACUCGUGUGUUUGACGUGCUCAACAACACACUUGGAGUGUAAUAGAACACACUCGGGUGACACAACAGAAUGGUGUGUUACUGAACACUCUGACAUCCAUACAGUGGUGUAAAGUAGCACACGAUAUAUAAGAUAUUAAGAAGGUCUUUUUACUUUUCAGAUACCAGAAUUAAUAUUUAUGUUCCACUUAGUACAGUUAGAUCACCAAGAGUGCUAAGUAUGUGCAAGUGAAAUAAGAGUUGAAAUGCUGCAGUCCCUGCAAAUGCGGGAAACAACUUGCUAUCACUCUCAAAGGAAGCUUUAUACUUUGCAAACCCAGAAAUCCAGGUCCUAAAAGUAUGGCUAUAGUAUAUAGAAGCCUGCAAUGCAUGUAGAAUCUCUACAUGCAUGCUAUACUAGAGCUAAGUGGCUAAGUCCAGACCUUCUGUGUGCGCAUGCGCAUUGAGGCUAGAAGCACAUGUAGUGUGCUUUAAUUAAAAUCAACAAAAAGAAGAACUGGAGAAGAACUCAAUUUAGCUCUGUACUAACUGCACUGAGUAUUUAGCUUUCCUGAAGAAUAUACACUACUGCAGCACUUCAUGGAGCUUCCAAAGGCCAUUCAUGUGCCCAGAACUUGACCUCAUUCUUGACUUGAGCACUGUUUGGGUAUAGAAGUGACUAUUCUCUGGGACAUACUAACUGCUAUAAAUGUGCAGAAAAGUAUCCAGGUACGUGGAGUAAUAGAUAUGCUUACCAGACAUAAUUGUAUUUAUUAUUUAGGACUGAUAAGAUGAGAUACAAGAUGACUUCAAUCAAAAUGUGCUACUGCUGCUGUGCGCUCUUUCGUCAAAAAGGAAACAUGUGAUGUGCUGUCAUUAACAGUAAUGUGUUAUGUAAUAAUCCGUAUAACAUUUAAAUAGUCGUUCGUUGUAUAAUUAUAGUCGUUCGUUGUAUAUAUGUUUUUGAUUUGUGUUGAAUGACUUGUACAUUUCGUUGAAA